rnacentral:rRNA from 1 species
AAUAAACGCUGGCGGCGUGCCUAACACAUGCAAGUCGAGCGAGAAAGCUCCUUCGGGAGUUAGUAAAGCGGCGAACGGGUGAGCAACACGUGAGAAUCUACCCUUUAGUGAAGAAUACCCUCGAGAAAUCGAGGCUAAUACUGCAUACGUCCCUUCGGGGAGAAAGAUGGCCUCUUUGCUAUCGCUAAAGGAUGAGCUUGCGUACUAUUAGCUAGUUGGCGGGGUAAAGGCCCACCAAGGCAAUGAUGGUUAACCGGCCUGAGAGGGUGUACGGUCACACUGGAACUUAGACACGGUCCAGACUCCUACGGGAGGCAGUAGUGAGGAAUCUUGCGCAAUGGGCGAAAGCCUGACGCAGCGACGCCGCGUGGAGGAUGACGGUUUUCGGAUUGUAAACUCCUGUUAAGCGGGAAGAAAGCCUUGUUUCUAAUACAAGACAAGGUAUGACGGUACCGCUAGAGAAAGCACCGGCUAACUUCGUGCCAGCAGCCGCGGUAAGGAGCUGUCGU